rnacentral:snRNA from 1 species
UGUGGCUGGUGGUCCAGCAUAUCGCAUCACGUUCUCGCCUUUUACUAGAGCAUGCCGUGUCGGGCCGUCGCUUGAAAGCCACGUUACAUAAUUUCUCGCUCCUCAGCGUCGCCUGAGAC